GAUGAAGAACGUAGUGAAAUGCGAUACGUAGUGUGAAUUGCAGAAUUCAGUGAAUCAUCGAAUCUUUGAACGCACAUUGCGCCCCCUGGUAUUCCGGGGGGCAUGCCUGUUCGAGCGUCAUUUCACCACUCAAGCCUCGCUUGGUAUUGGGCAACGCGGUCCGCCGCGUGCCUCAAAUCGACCGGCUGGGUCUUCUGUCCCCUAAGCGUUGUGGAAACUAUUCGCUAAAGGGUGUUCGGGAGGCUACGCCGUAAAACAACCCCAUUUCUAAGGUUGACCUCGGAUCAGGUAGGGAUACCCGCUGAACUUAAGCAUAUCAAUAAGCGGAGGA
rnacentral:misc_RNA from 1 species